rnacentral:lncRNA from 1 species
CAAGGAUUCAUCAUUUAGAGGUAAUUCCUUUACUAACAUUUACUACCAUAUGUUAUUCUACUUGCCAAAAUAAAUUAUUCCUCCUCUAUGUGUUCUUUACCAAUUUCUUUCGUUUCUAAUUUUGUACUUAAAAUGUUUAUUACUUAUUCUACUAUAAUUGACUAUAGCUCUCUAGACACCUUCAUCAUCUGUUUCCAUUUACGUUGCCGUAUGUUUUUUACAUCCAUUCACUAUGAAAUUACCUAACUAACUAUUGCUUUUGCUGUCAUACCAGGCAAUUGUUAAAGAAUUUCAAGCUUGAUGUGAAAGAACCAAUUCCAUGUGAUCGAUAUAGUAAGUAUUCAUUAUCAAUUUCAAUUUCAAACAAGUUAUUGUGAUUCAAUAUUACUUCCAAUAUUUUAUAUUCAUUAUUAUUUUAUCAUAAUUGUUGAACUGUUCCUUAAAUUUAUUCCUUUCAAAAGUAGUCUCGAUGAUCCAUUUCACAUGUUUUGCUGAAAUAAGAACUUGUGAUGUAGCUUUCAUGUACUUUUAAAGAGUAAUCCCAACUUUACACCAUUCUGAUGGCAAAGUACUUGUGGUCAGAUGAACUUGGCAACAAGGAUACAGGUGGCUCAUCUGGCUCUCAAGCAUCGCCUGAAGAUAAAGCAACAACAAAGGAUUAUUGUAUUUGGUGGAGCUUAGUCUCUACUAUUACUUCUAAUUUCAUUAUGCUCACUUUUUUUCUUCUUCCUUUUUGUUUUGUUUUGUUUAAUAUUUUUUAAAACUUGUGAUUUUAGUCUUGUGAAAUAUGACAAAGGAGUUGGAGAUGACUGGUGGGAAUUGGAAAAAAAAAAACCAUGUCUCUUGAUUCAAGUUCAAGACUAUCCAUUUGAUACCUUAUAUUUUUUGUAGGCAGUGGAUGGCGGUGGUGUUGCAGGCAAAAGAUGCACUGGAAUGGGCUUAUAGAGGAGAAGGAGCUGUCAAGUCAAUUGUGUUAUUGCUCAUUCUGUAAAAUCUCAUGAUUUUAUAUGUCUUCUUCUCCUCUUUUUUAUUCUUACCUUUUGUUGAUCAAAUAUUUUUGACUUUCACUUUUGCUUAUCCUGUGAAUAUUAGUCUUUCAACACACCGAUUUUAUGAACAAACACCUUUUUAGUUAUUUA